AAGCCUUCGCCCUCCCCUCAAGGAGCUACGCAGCCUAAUUGCUAGAAGCCUCGACUGCAGUCCGAGUGCCUGGCAACGGGGACGCUAUCUGGGACUUUCUCAUUGGUCAGGGGCACGUAGGGGAAGGAGGAGGAGGGGCGAGACGGGACAUUCUGCUUAGUGGCAGAGCUCUGUCUGUACUUUCCUAGCGAGGCAGGCAGCCAGGGUGAGACUUCCUAAACUUUUCUCGUCCACGGAGGGAGCGGGGCAAUUCACGGGGUCCCAGACCUAGAGCUGGAAGGGACCCUUCAUUGUACAUAGGAGGAAACUGAGGCAAAGUCACCUGGGGAGUGAGGGGAAGUAUCGGGAGUAAAAAAUCUCUCCUAAAACACCCCAAUACAGGCGAUCAUCCAACCUCUACGGCAAUAAAAAUAGCAUCUCUCUAUCUCUGCGUAUCCCUUGGAGGUUUGUAAAGCACCGUAUUUACAUUCUGUUAUUAUCCCGAUUGUUCAAGAUGAGGAAAACAGUCAGUGAACGUAAGGGACCGUUGUCCAUCUGGUAAACGUCUCAGGCAAGAUUUGAAACCAGGACUUCCCGAGUUCAAGUCCAGACCACCGCCGCCCUCUAGAUAUCCAGGGAUGGGAGGAUCGCCACUUGUGAAGAAGGUUGUCCUUUCAUCCUGCUCCAAAUUGCCACCCUAUAGCAUCCAUCCUUUCCUCCUGAUUCAGUCCCCCGUGGGCAUGCUCAACAAGUCUAAUCUACACUCAUUUUACCCUCCAAGAAUCAAAUUCAUAUUAUCAAGUGGACGAUUAAAUUAUGUUCAACUGACUCACAGUCUUGGGCUUGGAAAUAGGAGACCCAAUUUUGAGGGUAAAUCACUGAGUGACUUUGAGCAAAUUCCUUUCCUUCUCUGGAAGCCACUGGAUUCUUCAUUCACAUCAUCCCUGCCUACCACAGAGAGUUUCAAGCCUCCUUAAUGUUCCUCAUACAAGACUCUCCAUCUCAUGACUCCAGGCAUUUUCUCUGGCUAUCCUCCAUGCCUAGAACUCUCUCCCUCCUCCUCUGUCUCCUGGCAUCUGUGGCUUCCUCUGGAUCUCAGUCAAAUUUUCACUUACUACAGGAAGACUUUUCCUCAUGCCCUUAAUGCUAGUUCUUUACCUCUAAGUUUUAACGUCCAAUUUAUUUUGUGUUUAUUAUCUUGUUCGUCUAUAGCUCUUAACACUUUGUCUCCUCUAUUAGAUUGUGAGAUCCUUGUGGGGAGGGACUCUUUUUCCUUCUUUGAAUCCCCCAGCACUGAGCUUGGUACCUGGCUUUAGUAGGGGCUUAAUAAAUGCUUGUUUACUGAAUUAUGUGACUUGAUGAUUAAUAUAAAAUAUUUUCUAGCCAUCUAGGCAUGUGAGGAGUCUUGCCAAUUCUAAGGCAUGAAUUGAUUAUUUAGGCAGAUAGGUGGAAUAGUAGAUAGAUAGACUGCUUGACCAGGGGUCAGGAAGACCUUAGUUCAAAUUCAACCUUAGGCAAUUAUUGACCAUGUGACCUUGACACUCAACCCUGUUUGCCUCAGUUUCCUUACCUGUAAGAUGAAGAUAAUAGGAUACUUUGCAAACCUUAUAGAAUGCUAUUUAAAUACUUUUGUGUAUGUACAUAUCUAUAUCUAUAUAUUAUUGUUCAUCCUUCAGAUUUAAAGACCUCAUGGGGUGAUGUCUUGACUUGUUCAUGAAUUGGAUUUAAGUGAGGCAGGGUUGCCCAAUGUUGUCAUCCUCAGUCUUUAUUCCAAAGUAUUUGAAGUCCAGUGGCAAGAUCAAAGUCAGCACAACUGGGGAAGUCCUAGGACUCAGUGAAUGACUUUGGUAUCUUUGAUGUCUGACCAAGCUUUAAGCUCUCCACAGCACUUGUGUUCUAUGCCUUCAUGGCAGUUGGAACAAUUGUUCUCAUCUGCCCCUUCCUCUGGAGGAAGACUUUGAAUGCCUAGGGUAGAUACCCUCCCCCAGACAGUCCCUCAACUCACUAAUGGGUUUUGAGAUCUGUUGGUUACCCUUAACUUGGUUCAAUCUGUCUGCCAAGAUGGCUGUGUGGCCACUGCACUUGCCAUGAAUUAUUGGAGCCACAAGUGAUAGGCAGGUGGCAGGUGGACAUUAAAGGAGGAAAGCAGCCCUGAAAAUGGCUCAGCAGCCCUCACACCAGAGGUGCUAGUCUUCUCAGAAUACUUGGUAUUGUUAAGGGUAAAAAUAAGGAUUGAGACUGAAUAUAUUAUAUUAGUGGUUGCCAGGAAUUUAAAUUCUAAAUCCCAAUGAAAUACUCAAGUCAGAAUGGAAUUUUAUGUUGGUUUAUUUACAAUACAAGGAAGAAAUUAAGAAGAAGGAGAAAGAGGGGAAGGGGUAAAGAUCUACUCUGGCCUGAGCCAGGGAGAGUUCAGUGGCCUCAGCCAAGGGGCCUUCCCAGAAGAUAAAAUCUAGCUAGGCUACCGGCUAGGAGGUCUCCUCCAAGAUGAGGGGCCUCCUUGAAGGAGGACCUUCAGAAGGGUCAAGGGAAAGGGGAGUCAGCUGUAAACCUCAAAAUUUCUUAGACUUAUAAAUGUUGGAAAUUUCACCAUUGGGAAAUUUCAUACUUGAAAAAUUUCCUAUUGAUAGUGGGUCUUGACUAUUGGAAUGUGAACCCCAUUGGCAUGGGAGGUUCCUUCUCCUCCCUUCUUAAGAUUACUUUAGGACAGAAACCUUUUGCUGAACAAUGGAAAGGACUUUGACCCAUGCUUAAGCAUAGAACAGGAAUUUCUUUGAGUCAUGAUUGAUUUUAGAAUUGAUACAAUGGAGAUACUUGGAAUCAAUCUCCACCCUACUCAGUCCUAACAGGAUUGAGUAAGGGCUGCAGCAUAGAUCAAAAUAUAAUUAUUCCAAUCUCUACCCUACUCAGGUUAACAGGAUUUAGAAAGGGCUGUAGCAAAGGAUCAAAGAUUUAAUUAUUUGAAAAUAUGACCUUCAACAGACAUGUGCAAAGCCAGAGACCUCUGGGCGGUCCUGGGUUAAGCUAGAGCCUCCAUUGGUACAGGGAAAUUGAUGGACAGGUGAUUGGUAGAUGUGAGGACUGAGGGGAGGGAACUUGGAUGGUUUCCUUAAGGAUAGGGGGGUCUGAAGACUGGGAGGUGGUUGAGGAGUUUGUCGGAGUGGUUGCGGUGUGCUCUGAGAAGCUUGCUCUGAAGAAAGCUGGAGGUGGGGGCCCCAGAGACUGUUUCUCCAUUUUUGGUCACGUGAGUAAUAGGGACUGAUCUCCUUUCAUUGCCCCAGCUAUCUAAGGGCUUGGGCCUUUUGGCCCAGCCUAAACAGUAGGGGUAUUUAAGCCCUAUUCCCUUCUCUCCCCUUUCUCUCUCCCUCUAUCUCUCUAUCUCUAAUUCCUUUCUUCCUCCUGUUUGUAAAUAAAACUCCAUAAAAGGUUGACGGCUGACUUGAGUUUUCAUUAAGGAAUUACAUAGCUGAAUUCCUUGGCGACCUUAAAUUAAUAUAUAUCAGUCUUUUAAAAGUGAUUUCCUUGUCACACAGCCUUAUCACUCACCACGUGGCCUUUCAGGGAAGUAGUCUCACCUAGACCCUCGCUUUUGAGCUCUUCCCAGUCAAUUCCACCGCCAAAGCCGCCAAGGACUCCAAAAGCUGUAAAAGUCUCCAAAAGCCCCUUUCACAGGAAGUGACACAAAAUAUAUAGGCAGUUCUUUAUAUCACUUCCUGUGUCUCACAUAUACCAAUGGUGGCUUAAACUUGACUUAGGACAACCCAGGGGGUCAGUCAGUUGUUUCUGAUUUGUCACUUGCUGGCACAUGCUGGUCACAGACCAUCCUCCCCCACACUUAAUUCUUAAGUAGGGGUGAAUACAUUCCUGGUUGCUAGAAUUCAGAAGACUAAGCAGGGUGGAAUAAAUCUAAAAUUCACAGUACUCCUCAUAUAGGUAUAGGAAGUUAAGAUGAGUGUAUAUGCAUAUACUCACACAUAUACACAUUUGGUGUAUGUAUAUAAAAUUUGUUUGUGUUUAUAUAUUCGUAUACUAGCUAUUCAUAUUUCAGAGCUCCCCCACUACUUAUUACUGGGAGGAGAGCCUCCUUAGACAUCACCUUAAUUUUACAGAGGGAGAAAUUGAGGUACAUGGAGGAGAAGUUACUUGUCAAAGGGCAUCCAGUGAUUUAGGGGCAGGGCUAGAACUAGAAUCCAAAUCUUUCAACUCCUAGCUCAGGACUCAGUAUCAGGACAUGCAAAUCUUAGUUUAUUUGUGUAAAGUCUGAGCCCAGGGAACUGGAAAUACAAACUCCCUCCCUCCCCCUUUUCCUUUUGCUUAAAUAAGGCAUCAGAAGGAAUUAAAAAUAAACCUAUCAAGUUGAAAAAUAUUUUGGGGAUAUAUUGGACACCAGCUGGGAUAGCUGAAGUGAGAUUUAAAAAUCUGGUAAACACAACCAAUUCAGUCAAUGGUACAUAUGUUCAGCAUUAAAAACCUAUUGGAAAGACAUUAUUUUCAGAAGUCCCAUAUUAUGCUUUGCCGCUUGCAUCUUGAACCCAGAGAUUUCCGUCUGGCGAAUUAUACAGAAAUGCCAGUUUGGGCUUUAUAAAUUACAGGGCCCAGGGCAAGGCUCAAACUUGGGGCUCCCUUGAUAUCAGCUAGUUGGCAAUCUGUCCAUGGAUCCCUGCCAGUAAGAAAUGCCACUGGAUAAUGGGCAUUUGUACCACCUAAAAGGAUUAACAGUUACAACAGGAUUAUAGGCUGGAUCCUGCUGUGAAAAUGCCCAGGAGGCCUUAGGCUAUGAGGACAGGAUGCUCUGUCCCCCAGCCUGCCAGAAUGAUGUAAAUAAUAAUCACAGUUUACUUUGGGAGACCUUCUUCCAAGACUUCCAUAUCUAUUAUCCAAAGAUAAUAGAUAGUAAUAAUAGAUAAUGACAAUAGCUAGCAUUUACAUAGCACUUUAAAGUUUGCAAAGUGCUUUACAAAUCUCUUAUUUAAUCCUCAAAGCAAUUCUUGGAAGGCAGCUAGAUAGUGUAGUGGGUAGAGCCAGAGUCUGGAGUCAAGAAAACCUGAGUUCAAAUUUGUCCUAAGACACUAGCUGUGUAGCCCUGGGCAAAUCAAUGAACCUUGUUUAUCUUCGUUUUCUCAUCUAUCAAAUGAGCUGGAAAAGGAAAUGGAAAACUAUUCCAAUAUCUUGGCCAAGAAAAUCCAAAUGGGGGUCUUGAAGAGUCUGACACAAAUGAAAUGACUCAACAACAGCAACAACAACAACAGCAGCAGCAGCAGCAGCAGCAGCAACAACAACACCACAGUCCUAGAAGCUGUUCCCUAGACCUGGAAUCUACUCCCUCCUCAUCUCUGCCUCUGGAAUCACUAGAAUCCUUCCAGGCUCAGCUCAGAAAAUGGAAUGGAGUUUUUUCCUUGUCGACGUAUACCAUGGACAGCAGCCUCUUUCCCCAGAAAGCCUAGAAUUAUGGCUCAAGCUGUUUGACAAGAUCAGUAUCCGUUACAAAGACGAGGUUGAAAUUUCUAUGCCCAUGUUUAUCCAGCCCCAAAAUGCAUUUCUUCCGCACUGGUUCAUUGUCAACUCACAUUGUCGGGGCCAUUCUGAAAA